rnacentral:lncRNA from 1 species
AUGAUGAAAAACAACAGUUUUGGAAGUCACACACGCUACAGGGAUUUAAAAGGGGAAAAUAAUCCUCCUCUCCUACCACGGCUUUGCAUGUCUAACCAGAUACUGCGAGGAAACCUGAAUUUCAAGGAAUUCUUCUUGGUCACUAGCAUGAGAGAUGAUGCAAACCAGGUGAAGAAAGAAGUCAUCCAGAAAGGUAAUUUGUUUAUCACUGCAGAUCUAAUCUUUUUGCCAAGUUGUAGAUUGUUUUCCCGAUAAAAAAUCGUCUCCCUGGAAUUUGACACAUCAUCAUUUUUAAAUAAUGAUUCAUUCCAUUAUCGUAAGUAGAAUCUUGUAGAACUAAUGCUAAAGAAGCAGCUUCUGCAGUGAAAUUUGGAAACAGCGAACCUACCUAAUACAGUUUCUCUAGAAGAUAAUAAUACAUCUUUAAAUACUGACAUAAGGACAGGACAACUGUCUCAUCUUCCCCCUUUACUGGGUGCAUUUUAAAAAAAUACUGUUUGUAUAGGUCCCUGAAUUCUCCAGAAACUUGUUUUUUCCUUUUGUUUCCCUUUCCCUUGGUGAACGAAGCUGCCACCCAGACAAGGGAAACGGACGGCUAAUGAAGCUCAACAACAUUUUGUUCGGAACAGCAUUAAGAACCUCUUUCUUCUUCAUGUCUCACCGAUCUGAAGGAAAGAGGACUCCCAGAAGGAGCGCUGGAGGAGAUGCAAGAAUGCUGACUUGCUGUGAGGAGAUGGUAUUGUGAAAAAUCGCUUGACCUGUCAUGACCCGUGAACUAGUCCAGCGCUUCUGUUCUCUUUAUAAAUGAGGUGAACUGGCUGAUCUGACUUACUGAUGUGUGGUUUGCCUACACCUCUGGCCUGCAGCAACGUACAGAACAUACACUGCUCCACUGUUAGUGGAGUAACUAACCUCAAGCCAAGACACCCUUGGAUCCACCCUUUACAAACGCAGCUAGAAGGAUUCUGUAGGAGUCAUCACAGCAGAUUUUUGCAAAGGACUGAAAAUCUGGGUACUUUCCUUGUAGUACGUCAGCACUAGAGACAGCGGUUCUCCUACUCAGCCAACUCAUGGCUAUGUCUUAAUUAGGAAGCUGAUACUACUCGCUCGUUGUUGGAAGCUGCGUUGUAGGUCCGCGUAGACAUAGUACAAGGAUAUGUGAGGCGAGGCUUGUGGGAAGGCACGGUCUUGUUAAGUGAAGUAACACUGCAGGGAAGGAGGACAAGCUGCCUGGCUCACGAGCAACUCCUAGCUC